CCUACGGGUGGCAGCAGUGAGGAAUAUUGGUCAAUGGACGCAAGUCUGAACCAGCCAUGCAGCGUGAAGGAUGACUGCCCUACGGGUUGUAAACUUCUUUUGUACAAGAGUAAAGUGAGACACGUGUGCCUGUUUGUAUGUACUUUAUGAAUAAGGAUCGGCUAACUCCGUGCCAGCAGCCGCGGUAAUACGGAGGAUCCGAGCGUUAUCCGGAUUUAUUGGGUUUAAAGGGAGCGUAGAUGGGUUGUUAAGUCAGUUGUGAAAGGUUGCGGCUCAACCGUAAAAUUGCAAUUGAUACUGGCAGUCUUGAGUACAGUUGAGGUAGGCGGAAUGUGUGGUGUAGCGGUGAAAUGCUUAGAUAUCACGCAGAACUCCGAUUGCGAAGGCAGCUUACUAAACUGCAACUGACAUUGAGGCUCGAAAGUGUGGGUAUCAAACAGGAUUAGAUACCCGGGUAGUC
rnacentral:rRNA from 1 species